UACGUAGGGCGCAAGCGUUAUCCGGAAUUAUUGGGCGUAAAGAGCUCGUAGGCGGUUUGUCGCGUCUGCCGUGAAAGUCCGGGCUCACUCCGGAUCUGCGGUGGGUACGGGCAGACUAGAGUGAUGUAGGGGAGACUGGAAUUCCUGGUGUAGCGGUGAAAUGCGCAGAUAUCAGGAGGAACACCGGUGGCGAAGGCGGGUCUCUGGGCCGAUACUGACGCUGAGGAGCGAAAGCGUGGGGAGCGAACAGG
rnacentral:rRNA from 1 species